UCUAACAUUUGUCUAAAUAACGAAUAAAUGCAUGUAACAUGAAACUUUUGUAAAGAAGAGAUUUCGAUAAACCUGGAUUUUCACUGAGGAAGCUAAACCAAACUCUCUUUUUUUUCUUUCCAGGG